rnacentral:tRNA from 1 species
GAAACUGUGCCCGAGCAUCCAAGGACCACUUUGAUAGAGUGAACUACAGGGGUUAAAACCCCCUCAGUUUCU